UACACACCGCCCGUCACACCAUGAGAGUUGGAGAUACCCGAAGCCUAUGAGCUAACUUUUAGAGGNAGUAGUCGAAGGUAGAAUCAAUGAUUGGGGGUGAAGUCGUAACAAGGUACC
rnacentral:rRNA from 1 species